rnacentral:rRNA from 1 species
UACGUAGGGUGCGAGCGUUAAUCGGAAUUACUGGGCGUAAAGCGUGCGCAGGCGGUUCGCCAAGUCCGGGGUGAAAUCCCCGGGCUUAACCUGGGAAUUGCGCUUGAAACUAGCGGGCUUGAGUGUGGCAGAGGGGGGUGGAAUUCCACGUGUAGCAGUGAAAUGCGUAGAGAUGUGGAGGAACACCGAUGGCGAAGGCAGCCCCCUGGGUCAACACUGACGCUCAUGCACGAAAGCGUGGGGAGCAAACAGG